ensembl:lncRNA
CAUCUUAUUGCUUUUUAAAAGUGGAGUGAAACACACGAUGGAAAUGGAGUGGGAGUGUUGGGGAGCUGGAUAAGAUGGAAGUGGCUGAGAGGAGACAAAAAUAAAACCCAAUUUCAACAAUAGCUCAAACCCCUGCCUCAGUGUCUACAGGAAGACGAGCCAGCGCACCAUCAGCAAGUCCUGGAAUUUUGUAUUCCGCUGUAGGGAGUUUUUUUAAGCUUUAUUUUUCACAGACGUCCUUGAAAAUAAGGCAGGGCGACUAAACAGUUGUGGCACUUAAAAAAAGUAUUUCUGGGAGAAAAAAAAGAAGUGAACCACCUGAAACCUAUGGACACUAACCGCUAAUUUUGUCCCUCUUCUUCUUCUUUUUUAGAGGCUACAGUGAGGUGGGAGCUUACAAUGGAAAUGAAUGUUGUUGGUUUUUAGAAGGUUUAAAUGCAGAAUAGCAAAGCUUGUAAUUGUAAAAUCACUUACAUUGUUAUUAUUUAAAGUUAUGUAUUAUUUCAGCUGCAAAGUUUUUCUUGUCAGUUUUAUGAUCAUUUAAGGUACAGUAGUACGCUGUCAUGGCAACAGUGUUGUAAAAUGAAAUAAAAUUUUACAUGGAAAAAUCUGGAAAGCUUUUAUAUAUUUUAUAUUUGCCACACUAAAAUCAUAUUAAUGCACAUUUUGAUUAAAUAUUGUGGAUUUUAUUGUGUCUAUUUUAACAUUGAUUUUUAUUAACAUUC